UUCAUCCUACGGGGGGCAGCAGUGAGGAAUAUUGGUCAAUGGACGAAAGCCUGAACCAGCCAUGCCGCGUGCAGGAUGACGGCUCUAUGAGUUGUAAACUGCUUUUGUAUUAGGGUAAACACCCCUACGUGUAGGGGCUUGAAAGUAUAAUACGAAUAAGGAUCGGCUAACUCCGUGCCAGCAGCCGCGGUAAUACGGAGGAUCCAAGCGUUAUCCGGAUUUAUUGGGUUUAAAGGGUGCGUAGGCGGUUUGAUAAGUUAAAGGUGGAAUACCGGUGCUCAACACCGGAACUGCCUCUAA
rnacentral:rRNA from 1 species